rnacentral:piRNA from 1 species
ACUGUUGCCUUAAUCUGAGCCUG